rnacentral:rRNA from 1 species
GAUGAACGCUAGCGGCAGGCUUAACACAUGCAAGUCGAGGGGCAUCGAGAGUAGCAAUACUUGUCGGCGACCGGCGCAAGGGUGCGUAACACGUGAGCAACAUACCCGUUUCAGGAGGAUAACCGGAGGAAACUCUGCCUAAUACUCCAUGACAUCAUCAAACGGCAUCGUUUGAUGAUUAAAGAUUUAUCGGAAACGGCUUGGCUCGCGGGACAUUAGCUCGUUGGUGAGGUAACGGCUCACCAAGGCCACGAUGUCUAGGGGUUCUGAGAGGAAGGUCCCCCACACUGGAACUGAGACACGGUCCAGACUCCUACGGGAGGCAGCAGUGAGGAAUAUUGGACAAGUGGUCGGAAGACUGAUCCAGCCAUGCCGCGUGAAGGUUACUGUCCUAUGGAUAUUAAACUUCUUUUGUAUGAGAGCAAUAAGGUGCACGCGUGCACCGAUGAGAGUAUCAUACGAAUAAGCAUCGGCUAACUCCG